rnacentral:rRNA from 1 species
UACGUAGGUGGCAAGCGUUGUCCGGAAUUAUUGGGCGUAAAGAGCAUGUAGGCGGUUUUUUAAGUCUGGAGUGAAAAUGCGGGGCUCAACCCCGUAUGGCUCUGGAUACUGGAAGACUUGAGUGCAGUAGAGGAAAGGGGAAUUCCCAGUGUAGCGGUGAAAUGCGUAGAUAUUGGGAGGAACACCAGUGGCGAAGGCGCCUUUCUGGACUGUGUCUGACGCUGAGAUGCGAAAGCCAGGGUAGCGAACGGG